rnacentral:rRNA from 1 species
CGUAUCACCCAAGACAACUUUGCGGAGUUGACGAUUGACGGAGCGAAGCGACGUCAAAGCGUUCAUUAAAGUCGAGUUGGCUUAGGGAUACGUUCGUUGGGUAGGGGAGCGUUCUGUAAGCCUGUGAAGGUGGCCUGUGAGGGUUGCUGGAGGUAUCAGAAGUGCGAAUGCUGACAUAAGUAACGAUAAAGCGGGUGAAAAGCCCGCUCGCCGGAAGACCAAGGGUUCCUGUCCAACGUUAAUCGGGGCAGGGUGAGUCGACCCCUAAGGCGAGGCCGAAAGGCGUAGUCGAUGGGAAACGGGUUAAUAUUCCCGUACUUGGUGUUACUGCGAAGGGGGGACGGAGAAGGCUAUGUUGGCCGGGCGACGGUUGUCCCGGUUUAAGCGUGUAGGUGUGUGUUCCAGGUAAAUCCGGUUCACUUUAACACUGAGGCGUGAUGACGAGGCACUACGGUGCUGAAGCAACAAAUGCCCUGCUUCCAGGAAAAGCCUCUAAGCAUCAGGUAACACGAAAUCGUACCCCAAACCGACACAGGUGGUCAGGUAGAGAAUACCAAGGCGCUUGAGAGAACUCGGGUGAAGGAACUAGGCAAAAUGGUGCCGUAACUUCGGGAGAAGGCACGCUGACACGUAGGUGAAGUGAUUUACUCAUGGAGCUGAAGUCAGUCGAAGAUACCAGCUGGCUGCAACUGUUUAUUAAAAACACAGCACUGUGCAAACACGAAAGUGGACGUAUACGGUGUGACGCCUGCCCGGUGCCGGAAGGUUAAUUGAUGGGGUCAGCGCAAGCGAAGCUCCUGAUCGAAGCCCCGGUAAACGGCGGCCGUAACUAUAACGGUCCUAAGGUAGCGAAAUUCCUUGUCGGGUAAGUUCCGACCUGCACGAAUGGCGUAAUGAUGGCCAGGCUGUCUCCACCCGAGACUCAGUGAAAUUGAACUCGCUGUGAAGAUGCAGUGUACCCGCGGCAAGACGGAAAGACCCCGUGAACCUUUACUAUAGCUUGACACUGAACAUUGAGCCUUGAUGUGUAGGAUAGGUGGGAGGCUUUGAAGUGUGGACGCCAGUCUGCAUGGAGCCGACCUUGAAAUACCACCCUUUAAUGUUUGAUGUUCUAACGUGGACCCGUAAUCCGGGUUGCGGACAGUGUCUGGUGGGUAGUUUGACUGGGGCGGUCUCCUCCUAAAGAGUAACGGAGGAGCACGAAGGUUGGCUAAUCCUGGUCGGACAUCAGGAGGUUAGUGCAAUGGCAUAAGCCAGCUUGACUGCGAGCGUGACGGCGCGAGCAGGUGCGAAAGCAGGUCAUAGUGAUCCGGUGGUUCUGAAUGGAAGGGCCAUCGCUCAACGGAUAAAAGGUACUCCGGGGAUAACAGGCUGAUACCGCCCAAGAGUUCAUAUCGACGGCGGUGUUUGGCACCUCGAUGUCGGCUCAUCACAUCCUGGGGCUGAAGUAGGUCCCAAGGGUAUGGCUGUUCGCCAUUUAAAGUGGUACGCGAGCUGGGUUUAGAACGUCGUGAGACAGUUCGGUCCCUAUCUGCCGUGGGCGCUGGAGAACUGAGGGGGGCUGCUCCUAGUACGAGAGGACCGGAGUGGACGCAUCACUGGUGUUCGGGUUGUCAUGCCAAUGGCACUGCCCGGUAGCUA